UGAGUCAAAGGCCGAAAAUGACAUGUUUCACUGACCCACGAUGUUCGACAUGGCGGAGAAUGGCAUGAGCAUUUAUUGCUCUACCAUUUCUCUACCAAAUCCAUCAUUGCACCGCCCAAACUAGGUAUUAUCCGUCUCUCCCCUUUGCUUUUUCUACUUUGUAACGUUCAAGUGGGUACAAAUCCUUAAUGGAUUUUGUCUUACCCUCGUUCGAUUCCUCUCUUUUCAUUGGGUCGUGAGAAACUGAGAGGAUUAAGGGAUUUUAGGUCAUUUCUAACCAUAGAUACAUUUACUUAUCCAAAUCUUGGGCAUUGAUUCGUUGUUUAAGGAAACAAUUCUGAGAAUUGCAAAUUAUCCCACAUCAGUCACGAGCAAGGGUUUUUAUUGUUUUGGGGUUCUACAAAUAGAAUCCCCAAUUCAUGUUUACAUACACCGAAUAUCAUCACAUAUUCACAAAAAAAAAAUCUAAAAUACAUAGGGUUUUUGCAAUUUGCUUGUGACCUUUAAUUUUUUUCGGAUUAGUCAAAGUUUUAAAGUUUGUUUCCUUUUAUAUUAUGUGUGGCUGAGCAAUUGGAGUAGAGAAAUCAAGCUUCCAAGUCCAUUCUUGACCAAGGUUGCGCUCACAAAAGGCCACUUGGGUCAUUUCCUUCCGUCUGAAACUUGUUCGGCCUGAGGCCCAACUCUUAUAGAUUGAUCAAGUGCGAAAGUGGAAGCUAAUAUAUUGAAGGCCCAUCUAUGGGUGAAAAUAGAAUGGUGGGCUUAGGUAAGCCCACCAGCCUAAACUUCUCUUUAUUUUAUGUCCAUUUGAUAUAUUUGUAUGUACAUGUAAAAGUACUUGUAAAUAUUGAAACCCUUUAUAUUCUUAAGAA